rnacentral:misc_RNA from 1 species
GUCCGUUUUACAACUGUAUGGCUGGCAAAAAAAAAUUGUUACAAAAGCAGGAGACAAUAUUCGUUCACACAAAAGUGUUUACAUUUAUGUACACAUGUUUUUGAUUUUGGUUGAUAUUCCUUCGCAUAUAUCACCAGAUGCGAUAAUCAUUGCUUCUAGUAUGCUGAUUAUAUAAGUGAAGCUAGAAAUCUGCUGACUAUUUAAGAAGUCCAAAUACCUUG